rnacentral:rRNA from 1 species
CUGCCCAGUGAUGAAUUUAACGGCCGCGGUAUACUGACCGUGCAAAGGUAGCAUAAUCAUUAGUCUUUUAAUAGAGGGCUGGAAUGAAAGGUUUAACGAGGGAUUGACUGUCUCAUUUUAUUUGUUUUAAAAUUUAAUUUUUUAGUCAAAAAGCUAAAAUAGAAUUGGUAGACGAGAAGACCCUAUAGAUCUUCAUAUGUAUUAGGUUAACCAUUCUUAUAUCAGUAUGUAUAAUUUAAUAUGUAUUUCGUUGGGGUGACGAAAAUAUAUAAUUAACUUUUUUAUUUACUUAACAUUGAUUUAUGAAUAUUAGAUCCAUUAUUAUUGAUUGCUAGACUAAGUUACCUUAGGGAUAACAGCGUAAUCCUCUUCCAGAGUUCAUAUUUACGAGGGGGCUUGCGACCUCGAUGUUGGAUUAAGAUAAUAGUUAGGUGUAGCCGCUUAACAUAUAGGUCUGUUCGACCUUUAAAUUCUUACAU